rnacentral:tRNA from 1 species
AGCCUCGAGGUGUUUGGCGCGUUAGAUUGCAAAUCUAAAGGAGCAGAUUAGUUAUCUGCCGGGGCUU